UGAAACCAUCAGUACAUAAUCCAAGGUAGACAUUUAUUCUCUCAUACGCAAAGUCGGGAUACUUUGAUUGGAAAUGCUUCCACGCUUUUGCAUCUGAAGGAUGUCUGAUCUCACCAUCUGUUGAGUGCUCCGCAUGCCAUCUCAUUGGUUGCGCUGUGCGUUCAGACAGAUACAACCUCUGCAACCUUUCCGUCAAAGGUAAAUACCACAUCCUUUUAUAUGGCACUGGAAC
rnacentral:lncRNA from 1 species